AUUGAACGCUGGCGGCAGGCCUAACACAUGCAAGUCGAACGAGUGGCGGACGGGUGAGUAAUGUCUGGGAAAUUGCCUGAUGGAGGGGGAUAACUACUGGAAACGGUAGCUAAUACCACAUACCAUCAGAUGUGCCCAGUUGGGAUUAGCUAGUUGGUGGGGUAACGACUCACCAAGGCGCCGAUGCCUAGCUGGUCUGAGAGGAUGACCAGCCACACAGGAACUGAGACACGGUCCAGACUCCUACGGGAGGAAGCAGAGGGGAAUAUUGCACAAGGGACGCAAGCCUGAUUCAGCCAUGCCGCGUGUAUGAAGAAGGCCUUCGGGUUGGAAAGUUCUUUCAGCGGGGAGGCGUUACCCGCAGAAGAAGCACCGGCUAACUCCGUGCCAGCAGCCGCGGUAAUUC
rnacentral:rRNA from 1 species